rnacentral:rRNA from 1 species
CAUUGAUGAUAACUUACAAUUGCCAUCCGCCUGGGGACUACGAGCACCAGCUUAAAACCCAAAGGACUUGGCGGUGCUUUAGACCCACCUAGAGGAGCCUGUUCUAGAACCGAUAACCCCCGUUCAACCUCACCCUUCCUUGUUCUCCCCGCCUAUAUACCACCGUCGUCAGCUUACCCUGUGAAGGGCUAAUAGUAAGCAAAACUGGCAAAGCCCAAAACGUCAGGUCGAGGUGUAGCGUAUGGAAGGGGAAGAAAUGGGCUACAUUCACUAACUCAGUGUACACGAAUGACACCCUGAAACACGUGUCUGAAGGAGGAUUUAGCAGUAAGUAGAAAAUAGAGUGUUCUACUGAAACUGGCCCUGAAGCGCGC